rnacentral:rRNA from 1 species
UGUUGGUGAGGUAAUGGCUCACCAAGGCGUCGACGGGUAGCCGGCCUGAGAGGGUGACCGGCCACACUGGGACUGAGACACGGCCCAGACUCCUACGGGAGGCAGCAGUGGGGAAUAUUGCACAAUGGGCGCAAGCCUGAUGCAGCAACGCCGCGUGAGGGAUGACGGCCUUCGGGUUGUAAACCUCUUUUAGCAGGGAAGAAGCGAAAGUGACGGUACCUGCAGAAAAAGCGCCGGCUAACUACGUGCCAGCAGCCGCGGUAAUACGUAGGGCGCAAGCGUUAUCCGGAAUUAUUGGGCGUAAAGAGCUCGUAGGCGGUUUGUCGCGUCUGCUGUGAAAUCCCGAGGCUCAACCUCGGGUCUGCAGUGGGUACGGGCAGACUAGAGUGCGGUAGGGGAGAUUGGAAUUCCUGGUGUAGCGGUGGAAUGCGCAGAUAUCAGGAGGAACACCGAUGGCGAAGGCAGAUCUCUGGGCCGUAACUGACGCUGAGGAGCGAAAGGGUGGGGAGCAAACAGGCUUAGAUACCCUGGUAGUCCACCCCGUAAACGUUGGGAACUAGUUGUGGGGUCCAUUCCACGGAUUCCGUGACGCAGCUAACGCAUUAAGUUCCCCGCCUGGGGAGUACGGCCGCAAGGCUAAAACUCAAAGG